GGCCGGUUGGCCCAAUGGCAAGGCGUCUGACUACGAUUGUAGUGUUAUCAGGAGAUUCUGGGUUCGACCCCCAGGCUGGUCA
rfam:Colletotrichum sublineola strain TX430BB Scaffolds0266.1, whole genome shotgun sequence.